AGAACCAGUACAGCUUGACAAGAGCCCAGCAAUCCUACAAAUCCCUCGUCCAGAUCCACGAGAAGAACGGCUGGUACACGCCCCCCAAGGAAGACGGAUAGCCACGGCGCCCGACGGAACCGGACUCCACCUCCUCUUCCUCCUCCUUCGCACCCCAUCCCGCUCCGGACCCCCCUCCUCCUCGCUGGACGCUGCUGCGCAAGGACAUUUUUUGUUCCCCCUCCCUCGGACUCCUUCGCCAGCUCGGUGGCAGAGCUGCACCGAUCGCCCGUGGGGGGGCGGGCUCCUUAUAAACAAUCGUCGUGAGCAGCCCCCCCCCCCCAUUCUUGGACCCUCGCUGGCCGGCGAUCGGCUCCCCCCUCCUCCUCGCUCUUAUUAAACAGGGGGGAGGGAAGAAUG